AGCGGCUCAGUAAGAGAGCAUCUGUCUUGAAUACAGAAGGUCCUGGGUUCACUCCCCAGCAUUGUCA
rnacentral:tRNA from 1 species